rnacentral:rRNA from 1 species
AGCUGGAAUCGCUAGUAAUCGCGGAUCAGAACGCCGCGGUGAAUACGUUCCCGGGUCUUGUACACACCGCCCGUCACACCAUGGGAGCCGGAAACGCCCGAAGCCAGCGGCCCAACCGCAAGGGGGGAACUGUCGAAGGCGGGGCCGGUGACCGGGGUGAAGUCGUAACAAGGUAAC